rnacentral:lncRNA from 1 species
AGAAAACGCGCCUUCAUAUACCGAGCAAGACAGUGAUGCUGAAAAAUUGGCUGCGGUUGAUGCAUGGAAGCAUUCUGAUUUCUUAUGCAGAAAUUAUGUGCUUAAUGGACUGGAUAACACAUUAUAUAAUGUGUACUGCAAUGCUAAGUCUGCAAAAGAACUGUGGGAAUCUUUGGACACAAAAUACAAAACCGAAGAUGCCGGCACGAAGAAAUUCAUUGUCGGUCGUUUUUUGGAUUAUAAAAUGGUUGACAACAAGACUGUCAUAUCCCAAGUUCAAGAACUUCAGAUCAUACUUAGCGACAUCCAUGCCGAAGGAAUGAAACUAAGUGAAUCAUUCCAAGUCGCUGCACUAAUUGAGAAAUUACCACCUUCAUGGAAGGAUUUCAAGAAUUACCUCAAGCACAAGCGGAAGGAAAUGAAACUUGAAGAUAUCAUUGUCCGUUUGAGAAUAGAAGAAGACAAUCGCAAAACGGAAAAAAGGAAUGGUGCAUCUACUUCGAUGGAACCAAAAGCCAACAUUGUAGAAGGAGGCCUCAAGACAAACAAAAAGAGGAAGCACAAUGGGGAAGGACAAAUUGGUUCUUCAAAAACUGCUAAAAAGUUUAAAGGCAACUGUUACAAUUGUGGCAAGGCAGGACAUCGUUCCAAGGAUUGUCGAAAGCCAAAAAAUGUGAAGGGAAAAACUAACCAGGCCAAUGUAACGGAACAUGAGAACCUCACUGAUAAGGUACAAGACAUGAAUCUUUCUGCGGUCGUCUCUGAAUGCAACUUAAUUGGAAACACUAAGGAGUGGUGGGUAGAUACUGGAGCUACUCGUCACAUAUGCUCAAACCGCGGGAUGUUCUCUACCUACAAAGCAAUGGAUCAUGAUGAACAUCUUUACAUGGGAAACUCGUCAUCUUCCAAGGUAGAAGGACAUGGGAAGAUAGUGCUGAAAAUGACAAGUGGAAAAGAGCUCACUCUGAAUGAUGUUCUUCAUGUGCCCGAUGUUAGAAAAAACUUAGUAUCUGGUUCUCUACUAAGUAAAAAUGGGUUUAAACUAGUAUUUGUCUCGGACAAAUUUGUACUAUCAAAGAAUGAAAUGUUUGUAGGAAAAGGCUACCUGAAUGAGGGGCUCUUUAAAUUGAAUGUAAUGACUGUUGUACCUCCAAUUAAUAAGAAUACAUCUUCUUCUUACUUGCUUGAGUCAUUUAACAUUUGGCAUGAACGAUUAGGACAUACAAGUUAUAACACUUUGCGUAGACUAAUCAAAUUAGAUUUAUUACCAAAGUGUGAUUUAAAUCCUAAUCACAAAUGCGAUAUAUGUGUAGAAGCCAAAAUGUC